AAAUCUUUGACUGUCACGUCUUUUACUUCUUCAUUGACUGAAGACUGAAGAGGUCGGCGUCAAAAGCUGCUCUCAACAUGUCACGGGAAUCAGGACAAAUUCCUCCCUCCCAGUUUGUGUCCUCCGUGAACUUGCUGCAUUCCCAAUGAUGGUGACGUGCCGAGGGCGUUUGUGGGGGGAUGGAAACGUGCCGCACCGCUCCGGCAGCCUCCUUCGACUCUUGACGGCGCAAAAGCGUUCGCGCCAAAUUCAAGCGAGCUUCAGACACUCUGCCAGCAAAAGUCACCGCAUCUGGCCUCCAUCACUUGGCAUCCUUGCUGCGCAUGAAAAGUCCAGGUACGUACGUGUCUUUCUAUCAAGAUAGCAUAUCGACCGCUCCGGUCCCGCCCACCUGCCCGCCCGCCCGCCCGCCUUCCCUCCUGCUUUUCCGGGCUUCUUGUAAGCCGCGAGCAACAUGUCCCGACCGGGGCGGCGAACGGCAGACCUCCGCGGAGGCAGCCAGCCAUGCGGGGGAAUCUGCUGCAGGCGCUGCAGGGACAAACGGCAAAGAGCGGCGGUGGUGGCGGCGGCGGCCCACUGCAGGCUUUGGCAGGUGCGUGCCCCGGCAAGUCCUGCGUGGGGCCUCUUCUUGCCCGGGGGGGCUUUACGACCUAGUUGGGGGUUUUCUCUGGAGCCAAUCUCAAUGGGCCCAUAUGUGAAAGUACAGUAGCACCUUCACGUACGGUUUCAAUUCACUCAUGGAAUCGAUUCUCCCCUUUGAAAUGAGUUCAAAUGCCAUCACUUUGUUUUGUUCCCCCUCACCCCUC